UACAGAGGUCUCAAGCGUUGUUCGGAUUCAUUGGGCGUAAAGGGUGCGUAGGUGGCUUGGUAAGUUUGAUGUGAAAUCUCCGGGCUUAACCCGGAAAUGGCAUUGAAUACUACUGAGCUGGAGGUUUGGAGGGGGGACUGGAAUUCUCGGUGUAGCAGUGAAAUGCGUAGAUAUCGAGAGGAACACCAGUGGCGAAGGCGAGUCCCUGGACAACACCUGACACUGAGGCACGAAAGCUAGGGGAGCAAACAGG
rnacentral:rRNA from 1 species